rnacentral:lncRNA from 1 species
GUUGACAUGAAGGGAAAGGAAGAAUGUACAUCAUCUUCUGGCCAAAUGAAGGCAUCAAAAUCCAGUAGCAGCCAAUCAUAUCUCUUUGCCAAAAUACAACACAUUGUAAUGAUAUUCAUAUAUCUCUGAACAUCCUAGCUACAAUAGAAGUUUCUUCAAGAACAAAAGGAAAUAAAUUGACGAAACAACGACAAUUCACACGAGGACCUCAUGUUACGUUCUUUCAACGAUCAAAUAUGAGAGAUAUCAAGUGAUCAACAACCUUGAACAAGUAGCGUCAGUUGCUGUCCAACAAACCAGUAUUAACAUUCAAAUCAUUCUAACCAUCUUAAUUAUGCCAAAACUUUCAGGAAUUUGCUUCCAACCUUUUAAGAAGCAUAAAAGAUACACAAAGAACAUGUCACGCCCCGGGACCCAGCGGGAGCCCGCCCGGCGCGUGCCCAGACCCGCCAUGCGUCUAAAACGCAUAAGGCGUCUAACAACAAUAAUAAUAAAAGCGAUAAUAAAAGAUAUCUAGGAGUAUCAGAGCAUAAUAAAAGUCUAAAUGCUACAACAAGGGAUAAAGUUAAAAUUGUAAAUCCACUAAAUAAAACAUAAGGUAAAUACCACAGGAAUCCCAUAACAAGUGCUAAAAGGAGUACAAGGUGGUCUCUAUACAUGGAUACAGAAACUCUCACUCUCUCUCAACUACAAAAAGAAGAGUAACCACCUAGGCAAAGUGCCGCUCCCCUUUCCGCGAUCCCCUUUCCGCGAUCCCGUGCCUCCGCCGGUGUCGAAGGCUCUAAAAAGUAAACCAUAAAACGAGGGCAUGAGAACUAUUAAAAAUAGUUUCCAGUGGGCAAUUACUGACUUCAGUGCAUGCACCACAAGGCCCAAAGCUGCAAAAGAUAUCAGUGACUAUAAUAGUAGAAAGGCGAAAGGUAAGUAAAAAUGUAACUACUACAACAUGAUAUCUCUACUUAGCAUAAAUAGCAUAAGUAUGAAACAACUAUGCAUGAAGUAAACGUCUCCAACUAUCAUGAUGUUCACAAUGUGAAAAAGUAAAGUUCCGUUGUUUACUAUUCUAGUCAAUGUCCAAGUAGUACACUAAGUCAUCCUCUGUCCAUAUGUCAUAAUGGAUACAUAAAGUCAAAUCUGAAGAGACCCACCCGAAGGCUGUCUAUGGCCCUGAGACCCACCCGUAGGCUGUCUGGCCGGUGCCGAGCCUAAUGGCCCCGUGGUAGUCAUCAUCCCCACCCUAGGAAUGAGCCUGUCCCACGGCAAUCCACUUCGGCGCCCAAUCCCGCACGGCGAACAUGAAUCGCGAUGGCUAUCUCCGGAGUGCCGGCUUGUAGGGAGCGACCCUCACAAGCAUGUGCGAAUGAGCACAAUGGCAAGUAAUCAAACGAUCAGUCGCAAGUACCAAAUUCUCAUGUUCAGUAACAUGGUAUAUAGCAAAUGUCCUCGUGGCCAAGUCACUAUUUCAUCAUAUCUCAAAUAUGGAAUAUAGUUGAUGUCAAUGUGGCCUAUUAUCAAGUCUCUAUAUUGCAGUUUAAUAAUUCUCUAGUCCAAGUGCCUCUUUAUGACACUAUGGCUCAUUUUGUCCCAACAUGGAUACUAAGUUCAAGAACUUAUAGUUCUAGUCAAAAUCGAAGCAUGAAUCUUGAUUUCCUAUCAUCUCGUGGAAUAUUCGUCGCAUGCAUAUUAACAAAGCACAUUGUCUCUCUCUCUCUACUACAUAGAGUAAAGUUUCUUGAUACACAACAUGUGAGUUCUAAGCAUUCAAAAACUCUCAUAAAUGCUACUAAACAUGAUUAUGCAUGAAUUUAAGGAGCAUGAAAGCAUUUAACCACUUGGGAGGAAUUUCCUCCAAUUUCAAGGAAGCCAAACCCACCGAUGACAACGAAACUCCUCGUGCGCUCCAACGAGGGUGUCCUCAAGUCUCCUAGUACCCUAAAGGUAUAGAAACAUGGGUCAUCUAACCGAAAUGAACGACACUAAGCUCAAUCUUUAAGCUUCUCAAGCUAGGGUUAGGAAAAACUCACCGAUUGCGAAGGAAGCUCUCUCGAUCUCCAAAUGGGAGUUAGAGUCCUUCCAAUCUAACCUAAACAAAGGUUCUAAACCCAUCAAUUUGAUACAAAAGCCCUCAAAACGAAAAUCCCCAAAUCUAACCCUAAAAUGCCAAAUCUAGGGUUUGAUCUAGUAGAAUCCAACAAAAUCCGAAUCUAGAGGAGAGAAAUUGCUACUAACCUCUUAGAAGCUCCAAACCAAGCUCCAAAGUCCUCUAGGGUUGAAGGUUGAUCUCCAAAGAAGCCCCAACCAAGAUCUCAAGCUUCUCCAAUGGUGGCAAACCCACAAAAGCAAGAAAGAGAGGAGGAAAGAGAUCAAAACCCACAAGAAAACCAUCAAAAAUGGAGAAGAAUCCAAAAGAGGAAGUUCUCACCUUGUCUCCUCAGGUUUAGGGCUCAAAGGAGCUCUCAAAGGGGCUGGGGUUGUUUAUAAAGAGGUUGCAACAAUUGCAAAAACACCCCUCCACGAAAACAGCCCACUCUGCACUGUGUACCGGUACACGGGUUUGUGUACCGGUACACCACCCACGAAAAGCCAAACCCGAGCCUCGGGUUUGCUGGGAAAAUGGUCUGUGUACCGGUACACAACCACGUACCGGUACAGCCAUCAACCCCGUACCGGUACAGCAAGCGAACCCGUACCGGUACGCGGCCUGCUGAAGGCUACCCGAGAGCUGACCAAAAAUCUUACUUUUUGGAUUUUGGUACACAGCUUUAAACCACAAUUCUCGGGACUCGAACCAUAGGUCGGAACACUGUCAACGACAUACCAGAAAGUCUGGAAAAGCUCGACACACAAAUCAAACACUCGAACCUCGCAAUUUGCAAAGGUCCAGUGUGUUACAGGAGUGCACUGCUCGGGGGAGCGACCACCAACGAGCUCAAAGACUGGUGUGAGUAUGAUCCAACCCUCUCCACUGAGGGUACCCUAUCCACUAGGGCCAACAUAUCUCGACAACUCGACCAUCUCUCUUGGUUCAAGUACAAAUACCACACUAUGCUAGGUUCAUAUACCCAUGACACUAUAUCCAUAUACCACUCAUCUAGGUUAUCAUUCAUAUUAUAUAAUGCCACUCGUCAUGUUGUUUACGUUAACUAGAUGCCACUCGUCUUUGUUAUCAACAUAGCCUCAAGUUCAUCAUGUAUUUGCUAUUUAACAUAACCUGCAAUAUAUCAACCUGCAUAGUUAACGCAAUCAUAUAGGAACUAUCUCAUGCAUUCAUUUAGUAUAACCUUCAUACCUUUCUCUAGCAUAGCAUUCAUGCAUCAUAUCAUCAUGUAUUAUAUCAUUAUGUAUACCCAAGCCAAUAUGCAUAUGUUAAUCAACAUAGUCCACAAAUACAUUAAUAUGCAUAUGUUCCAAUUUGCAUAAUAUAUCCUAUGCAUUCAUACAGCAUCAUUUCAUGCAUCUCUCUAACAUUUAGUUCAUGCUUUCAUCUAACAUUCAACAUACUAGUUUGUCAUCUUAUGCAUUCGCCUAGCAUUCAUGAUAUGUCAUCAACAAGCAUGUUUUUAUAUUGACUACAUGCAUCUAUCUAGCAUUUAUAUGCAUCAAUACGAAAUCAUGUUCUCUUAGACAUAAGGGCGACCUAGUCGCUUCGGUAAGCACAACCCACCUGCUAUUGCAUUCCGAUUGCUUGUCGACACUUGCAAUCGGCCNACUGAAAUUUGGCUAAGUCCUAAAUAUGCUGGAAUUCUGGACCUACGGGGACCGGUCCCUCAAGUCCAAGGACCGGUCCCUUAUACAAAAAAUGGCCCGCGCGGGCUGUGCACAAAAACACAAAGUUGAGGGGCUUUUUGGCAAUUCUGCCACAUGAGGAGUUAAAUGGAGGGACUUAGGCCUAUUUCCUCUCACUCCCUCACACUUCCACCCUAAAAGAAUACCCUCUCUCUCUCUAGAAGCUCUUCUUCUCUCUCUAGAAGUGGAAUCAAGAUGAGGAUAAGGUAGAGAUUGGAGCUUGAAGGAGGAUCACCAUUGUUGUCUUCUUCCUUAGCUUGGAGAAGGAGCUUAGUAGAGGUAAGCUCUUUGCCUUCUCAUGGUAGAAUGCUUGGAUUAGGGUUUUAUACUCUAGAAAUGGAACUUAAUGAUGCUCUAGAAGUAAUUAAUCUCAUUUAUUGCUUGGGAUAAUGCUUGUAUGAAGCUAAUUGCAAUAGUGAGGUUUUACGGCAUCCAAAAAGAGUGCUUUUUCUCAUGAGUAGUUUUGAUCGCAAUUGACCAUCCGUAAACCUAAUUGGUAGGUAAACGAACGCGUUGGCGAAGUCGGUUUGAGUAUUCGUCGACCCUAUACGAAGAUAUUGAAGAAAUGGAUGUUCGGAGCUUCGUUUCCGCUUGGAGGGCCGAGGCGACGUCCAAAAAUUAUGAAAAUGGAUUUGGAGCACCGUGCGGCAAACCGUAGACCUAUAAUUUUCGGAACUGCGAAGCGGCGUACGGUUGGUGCGCAACUACAAGAUCGGGCCGUGUCGGAUACGGGUGCCGCGGGAGGCCGAUUGCAAGUGACUAAAAGCAAUCGUAGAGUGAAUCGAGGUGGGUUGUGCUCACCGAGGCGACUAGGUCGCCCUUAUGUCGAAGAGAAACGUGGUUUCAUGUUGAUGCAUGUAAAUGCUAGAUGAUGCAUGCAGUAAUACUAAAUAAUGCAUGUUAGCAUAUUGUAAAGAAUGCAUGUUAAUGACAUAUUGUAAAUAUGCUAGUUAAUACAUGUAUGAUGACAUGAUGAGAAAAUGCUAGAUUAUAUGCAUGUUAACACAUUAUGAAUAUGUUCUAAUUGUUAAAUGCAAGCUCUAGAUAGUAAAUGUAUGAUAGCAUUAUGAGAUCAUGUGAGACAGACAUGAAUGUUAACAUGUUGUAGAUCAUGUUAGAUAAGAUGCAUAUUGGCAUUGUGAGCAUGAUGAUAUAUAUAUGCUUAGUGGGAUAAAUGCUAGGAGCAUUUUGGAGCUAUGAGAUCAUGUUAGAAAGAAUAUGCAUGUUGGCAUCAUAUAAUGCAUGCUAGAUAAAAUGUGGAUAUCUAUUGAACUCGAUGUGGACAAGUAGGAUGUCGAAUAGAUCGAGUUGCACUUAACCUAGUGUAUUAAACAUAGGUUGAACAUGAAUGACAAUGAACCUAGUGUUAUUAAACAUAGGUCGAGUGGCAUCUAACCUAGUGUUAAAGAACAUAGGUUGAGAAUAAACCUAGAGUUAACUAAAUCUAGGUGUGUGGCAUUAACCUAGUGUCGUGAACAUAGGUUAUGGAUUGAACCUAGAGUUAAAGUAAACCUAGGUUAUGUGAUAGAGACGUUGAGCCUAGAGUCAAUUGGACCUAGGGUGAAAAGGACGUUGGACCUAGAUAGGUCAAUGCUAUAGGGUUUGAAACCAACCCUUGAGUUAUGAAAUGGAUUCCGGAAUCCCUAGUGAUGUGGCCGCACAUGGAGCGGUGAAAAUUGUGAUAAAAGAGAUGGCAAGUGAAUCAUAACUGCAGGUAUGUAUGGUUCUCCUCGCCUGGCAGUGAUUCAACGGGUAUGUGUGGUUCUCCUCGCCCGGGAUGCCAUGAGAAUAAGCUGGAAUUGGGUAUGUGUGGUUCUCCUCGCCCAUUAGCUUAUCGGAUGAUGCCGCCUAGGUUGACUUGAACCAUUGUUGGGUGAGAGCGAUGUGGUCGCUGCCAGAUGACUAAGUUAUGACUUGAACCAUUGUUGGGUGAGGUGCGAUGAGUUCGCCGCCAGAUGGCUAAGUCAUGACUUGAGUUGUUGUUGGGUGAGAGCGAUGAGUUCGCCGCCAGAUGGUUAAGUCAGAUGCAGCCAGGCUGAGGUGCAGCCAGUGCGCGGACUAUCCGCGGAUGAUUGACUCGAGGCCGAGUCGGGUGAUUAGCUUGAUUAGGUUAAUGGGAACCUUAUAAGCUAGUGAUCAAGGCAAGAACCUGAGGUAAUAGAGACCUUAGAAGCAAGUUGAACUUGAGUUGAGAACGUAAGGUAAUGGAAACCUUACAAUUGAAUGAAAUGACCUAAAGUAGCAAAGUAAAUGUAGAAUUAACAUAUCUACUAGUUGUUUAUGCAGUUGCAUAGUUGCAUAAUGUUCAUAUUGCAUUUGCGAGGCAAGGUAUGGUUUUAUUAAUUGCAUAGUCAAAUAUCUAUCUAUCUAUUUAUUAAACUAACCUGCAGUUGCCUCCUUGGACCUAUUGGUCGAGCUCCUCCCUUGGGUGGCCGUACCCACUGGAAACCAUGGAGUUGGUUCUCACCCCACGUUGUUUUGGGGUGUUACAGGUUCGCACGUGAGCGGCGCGGCGGCGCGAGGCAAGGGCGUAGCUCCAUAGAUAGCGCCCUACCCCAGAGACCAGAAAUAGCGGUACCCCGAGUCGGCAUAGCCUAGGGGUAGAGGGAAAAGAAAAAGAGUAAACUUGUAUUAAUAUUGCGAUCAUUGAUUGUAUUUGGAAGAAAAUGUAAUGUAAUAAUGCUAAUGUGAUGUAAAAAUGAAUCUAAUGAAUGCUUGUAAUAACAUAGNUUUCUUGCAUAGUUGCAACCUAGGGCUCCAGAAUGCAAUUUUUGCUAAUAGAUGGGUUUGAUCUAAAUCGAACAUAUAUAAACCUAAUUGCUAGGUAACGAAACGCGUUGGCGAAGACGGAUCGGCAAUCUGACGAGCCGUUACAAAGUUAUUAAAGAAACGGACGUUUAGGCUUCGUUUCCGCCUGGAGGGCCGAGGCGACGUCGUAAAAUCAUGAAAACGGAUUUGAAGUACCGUGGCACAUAACCGAAGACCUUUAAUUUUCGGAUCGCAAAUCGGAGAUCGUUUGGGUGAUUGCGCGAGAGUUCGAGCCAAACCGGGUCGCGGGUGUCGCGUGCGGCCGAUUGCAAGUGACUACAAGCAAUCGGAGAGUAAGUUAAGGUGGGUUGUGCUUACCGAAGCGACUAGGUCGCCCUUUAUGUCUAAGAGAAAUGUAAAUUCAUAUUGAUGCAUAUAAAUGGUAGAUGGAUGCAAGAGUUAAAUGCUAGGCGAAUGCAUGUUAAUUGCUAUGCUACGACUACCAUAGAAUGCAUGAUGAACAUAUUAUAGGAAUGCUAAAUAAUGCAUGUGAGCACAUUGUAAAGAAUGCAUAUUAAUGACAUAAUGUAAAUAUGCUAGUUAAUACAUGUAUGAUGACAUGAUGAGAAAAUGCUAGAUUACAUGCAUAUUAACAUGUUGUAGAUCAUGUGAGAAAGAUUAUGCAUGUUGGCAUCAAAUAAUGCGCAUGCUAGAUAAAAUGUUGAUAGUUAUGGAACUCGACAUGGACAAUUAGGAUGUCAAAUAGAUCGAGUGGCACUUAACCUAGUGUAUAAAACAUAGGUUGGACAUGAAUGACAAUGAACCUAGUGUUAUUGAACAUAGGUCGAGUGGCAUCUAACCUAGUGUUAAAGAACAUAGGUUAUGGAUUGAACCUAGAGUUAAGUAAACCUAGGUUAUGUGAUAGAGACGUUGAACCUAGAGUCAGUUGGACCUAGGAUGAAAAGGACGUUGGACCUAGAUAGGUCAAUGCUAUAGGGUUUGAAACCAACCAUUGAGUUAUGAAAUGGAUUCCGGAAUCCCUAGUGAUAUGGCCGCACAUGGAGCGGUAGAAAUUGUGAUCAAAGAGAUGGCAAGCGAAUCAUAACUGCAGGUAUGUGUGGUUCUCCUUGCCUUGCAGUGAUUCAACGGGUAUGUGUGGUUCUCCUCGCCCGAGAUGCCAUGAGAAUAAGCUGGAAUUGGGUAUGUGUGGUUCUCCUCGCCCAUUAGCUUACUGGAUGAUGCCGCCUAGGUUGACUUGAACCAUUGUUGGGUGAGAGCGAUGUGGUCGCUGCCAGAUGACUAAGUUAUGACUCGAACCAUUGUUGGGUGAGGUGCGAUGAGUUCGCCGCCAGAUGGCUACGUCAUGACUUGAGUUGUUGUUGGGUGAGAGCGAUGAGUUCGCCGCCAGAUGGUUAAGUCAGAUCUGCGGUAGGCUGCGACGGCAGCCAGGCUGAGGUGCAGCCAGUGCGCGGACUAUCCGCGGAUGAUUGACUCGAGGCCGAGUCGGGUGGUUAGCUUGAUUAGGCUAAUAGGAACCUUAUAAGCUAGUGAUCGAGGUAAGAACCUGAGGUAAUAGAGACCUUAGAAGCAAGUUGAACUUGAGUUGAGAACAUAAGGUAAUGGAAACCUUACAAUUGAAUGAAAUGACCUAAAGUAGCAAAGUAAACGUAGAAUUAACAUAUCUACUAGUUGUUUAUGUAGUUGCAUAGUUGCAUAAUGUUCAUAUUGCAUUUGCGAGGCAAGGUAUGGUUUUAUUAAUUGCAUAGUCAAAUAUCUAUCUAUCUGUUUAUUAAACUAACCUGCAGUUGCCUCCUUGGAACUAUUGGUCGAACUCCUCCCUUGGGUGGCCGUACCCACUGGGAACCAUGGAGUUGGUUCUCACCCCACGUUGUUUUGGGGUGUUUCAGGUUCGCACGUGAGCGGCGCGACAGCGCGAGGAAAGGACGUAGCUCCAUAGAUAGUGCCCUACCCAGAGACCAGAGAUAGCAAUACCCCGUCGACAUAGCCUAGGGGUUUGGGAAAUUAAAAGAAUACAAUGUAUCAAUUUGUAAUAAGUAAAUGAUGUAAUAACUUAAUUGCAUUUGGGAGUUGGAUGUAAAGUAAAUGUAUUAUUGUGAAUGCAUGUAAUAACAUAGGAUGUGUUAUGUUAUGAUACUUUCCUCAUGCAAUUAUGAUUGAUAUCUAUUCCUGGUUGGAACCCUUGUAAUGUUCAUUGUAUUGAUUGCGACGCCUAGGACGUACAGGGGAAACUCUGUCCGUUCGGCGGUCUGUCGACGCGCCCGAACUCGGCCAAAUAGGUGGGGCUCAGGGCGUGACAGUUAAAGUGGUAUCAUAGCAUAAAGUAGAGAAUGGGCAAUGGUUUAGAUAGAACUAGGGGACCCUAGGAUAGUAAACCAUAGGAGAAUAAGGCUCGUGAGAGACGAGGACUUGUGACUUAUGCGAAAGGUUCAUUGAUUGGGUUGUGUUGAAACCUCUAUGACGGAUAUUAGAGGUAGACUCGAGGUGUGGUUUAUUCUCAACCGAGGGUGUCCAUGUUCGGUGCACACAACAUGAAACUGAGUGAUGAGAAUAGACGGCCUUGCGUGACUUUCGCCCGAUUUGAGUCAAUGUUAAAUUGUCUCGUGCUUGACCCAGAGGGUUGAGAAUUAAUUGAGUUGUCGUAUUUCAGGGAACGAUGGCACCGCGUAGACGACCUUCGUCUAGAUCGACUCGGGAUGGCACAGGUGAUGUCCCUGAGCAAUCCGAGGCGAGCGGAGACCAGGUGCUCCGCGAGCAGAUGAGUACGCUCAUGGGCGUAGUGUUGCGACAGGAGGAGCAGAUCAAGGAGCUCCAUGAGUUGUUGGCACGACAGACUGCAGCGGCUACGCCGGUAGCAGCACGCCGUGUACCGACAGGAGUGGCGAUGGAAUCAGGGGUAGUGGCCUCUGAUUCUGUAGAAAUGGAGGCGGAGAAAGAGCGGGCUUUGACGGCCCUAAUGACCUUCAAGAAGUUUGAUCCGCCUGUUUUCGAUGGAGAGAAUGUUGAUCCAUGGAUCGUGGAGAUGUGGAUUGACUCUAUGGAAACGCUCUUUGAGGAGCUGUACACCUUGGAGCGGGACAAGGUGCCCCUAGCUGUGCACUGUUUGAAGUUGUCGGCAAAAGUGUGGUGGAAAGGCAUUCGACGGAAUCGAUCACCUAGUCUCCCUCCUAUGGCAUGGGAUGAGUUUCGGGGAUUGGUGUUUUCAACUUACUUCCCCGACACUGAAAAGAGAAAGCUUCAGGACAGGUUCAGGAAGCUGCGGCAAGGAGACCGCUCAGUGAGAGAGUACGAACGAGAAUUCUCUCGUAUCGUGAAAUGUGUCCCAGAUGUGGUUCGGGAUGACAAGGAUAUGGCCGAUUGGUUCUUGCAUGGACUUCGACUGGAGAUUUACGAGAGGGUGCAAAUUCUUAGGCUCACGACCUUCACGGAGGUGUUGGAUCGAGCAUUGUUGGCAGAGCACGGUGAUGCUUUCGUGCGCGAGAAGCACGAGUCUUCUGAGCGUCAGUGGGGAGGGGUGAAGCCACUAUCGAGAGAUUCGGGUGGACAAUCAAGUUCCAGGCGCCACUCGAAGUCGUCCUCUAGCCGAUCCUCCCCAGGAUGCGUGAUUUGUGGUGGUUCCCACUGGGCUCGGCGGUGUGUGCUGCGCGAUGGUAGAUGCCUUCAUUGCGGGCAGCCGGGCCAUGUACGGGACGAGUGUCCACAAGGGUAUAAUCAGACCCUGAUACAGGCGACGGCCUUUUCCUCCCCAGGACAGCCUGCAGGUGUGCCACCUGCGGCAUGGUCGGAAGCGCGACCGUUGAGGAUGAUGCCACCGAGGGGCUCGCGGCGGGCAGCGGGUGACCGUGGAUACGCGACCCAGGUGGAGGAACCUACUACUGCUGACACUGUCAUGGCAGGUACGAGUUACUUAAGCAAGCAUAUGCUUCUACCUAAUAUUGGACUGUUGCAUAGCAUGCAUUUAUCAUAUGGUCAGCAGCUACUAUUUACAUAUUGCAUAGUAGGGACCGAGUGGUCGGGUAGGUGGACACCCGAGCAUGCUUGCGUCGUGAGAGUGUAGCGCCUGCUGGAGCAGGUAGAGAGCCAUGUAGUACUAACAAAUUGUUAGUGAUAGUUCCUGGACAAGAAAUGAGACUCGCAGUGAACGGGAAACGGUGAAGCGGCUCUCAAGGCAAUGAGAACCAGAUUGCGAGAGUUGCGCCGUGACGUUGAGGAUACCCUGGUAGUUCGAGCAUUUUGAAUAUGGUUCGGUAGAUCGAACAGUGAGAGUAGGAUCACUGUUGAGAAAAUAGCCAGAUAGUUAUCGAGCACGAGCAUGUGGGCCUAAUAACACCCUGAGUUGAGGUGGGCGAGUAGUGCUCGUGUAGUUGGUGUGCAUAGGCAGGUGGCCUACUGCUUGGCUUAGUUGAAACGCUAUAGAGGCGUAGAGCGCUCGAGUAUAGGUACUCGUAGAGCAUGUCGUGUAGGACGACGUUGGCGGGUAUUGCUUGGGGACGACCCGUGCCUGGACCAUUUGUGGACUGUGAAGCCUAGGCCCAUUGGGCAGGCGCAGUCAGCUGUGAGAGACAGCGGCCCUGUACCUAUAGAUAGGGCAGAGAGUUGGUCAGGACGGUAGUCCGAGCUUAGACCCGGGUGCGUGGAAUGCCACGUGUUGGAUCGUGAGAUCGAGGAUACACCUAGUGUGUUGUGACCCAACCCGAGGACUUGACGUGGUUUGGGGUCUUGGUUGCUCCUGUUUGGAGUGGGUGCGAAUUCCCAAGUGAGAAUUUUGCCCGAAAAUUGAGGAUUGGGUCUACGUUGCGAGCAGGAAAUGCUACGCAUAGUUGAGACACGUUAGGCGAUAGACCUACGUAGUGUUUGCGACCGUUGGUGUACCUGUGAAAGCCGACGUAAUCGGUUUAGCCAAUAACUCUGUGGAGGAGUUAGAGUAAGGAGAUGAAUUCUCAAAAUACGAGAGUUGAACUUCGCUCGAGAUCGACUAAUUGUCGAGUGGGAGAGCUUCGCGAAAGUCGAAGAAGUCAAAUGUACCAAAAGUGCAUUGCAAUGGAGUCCGCGAGAGCAAAUGGUGCAAGAAUCUGCACUUGGCAGAUUUGCUCUCGGGGACCGGUCCCUGGCGGGAGGGACCGGUUCCCGAAUGUGGUCUGCGCGAGCUUGCUCUCGGGGACCGGUCCCAGACAGGAAAGGACCGGUUGCCCCGAGGCUAAGGGUCGCGCAGCGCGGGGCAACCGGUCCCAGGUAAGGGAGAGACCGGUCCCCGAGUGUGGCAUUUGCCCAGGUAGGCUGGGUUAUGUUGGAGGAAUUGAGGAACUUGAGGAUAAUGCUCUAUUAUGGAUUCAGAAUCGAGAUGCGCCGGAGUAGGCCAUCUCUUGAUAGAGCAAAGAUCCAAAUAUGAUUUGAACACUCACGAUGAAGCGAUGCACAAUGAUAUUGCCUUCAAGCAAGAUUGGUAAUCGAAUUGUCAUACCCUGAGGGGAAAGUAAAUGCAAACAGAAGUUCUUGCAUGUCAAGUGGUGAAUGGUGUUGAAGCGCGUAGUGUUGUUGAGUUUCAACUUGCGCUACCACCAAGAAUGACGGAGACCCGUAAUGCACUUUUGGAAUUACACACGGCAAAUGUGAGUGAGUCUAGUCUCACGUCCUCCGUAGUGAGCCUUUGGAUAGUUCCAAUGAGCGAAAGGCCACUCCGAGAUGCAAAAGUGCAUUGUACCCCCUUGUCACUCAAUAAAGAGAAUUAGAGUGUGAAUUGGGUUGAAGUGAGUGAGUUUCGGGGCCGAAACUCUUAUUAAGGAGGGGAGGAUGUAAGGUACCGGACUUCUAAAACUGUGAAGUUACGGUGUGCAUUUAAAUGGUUCCGGUGAGGUUGCGGUGGAAUGUAACAUACCGGAUUUUAAAUAUAAAAAUGAAAAUAAAUAAAAAUAGUAUGAGAUACUAUUUUUAUUGGAUUUAGAGAAGUGAAAUAUAAGUUGGGAAUGACCUGUGCUGAAAUCAGAGCGAAAACAGAAGAUUUAGAAUUUUCUGUUGGAAACGGGGCAGAUAAAUUAGCAGAAAAUGCACAGUCUCAGAAAAUUAUGAAAAUUGGCAGAGAUGUCAGAAAUAUUUUUAUGAGGCUAGAUUUAAGGUUUCAUAUUUUUCUGACACCCGUAGAGAGAGAAAUAGAAUCCGAAAGCUAUCUGAUAAAGAUUGCAGUUCGGUACAGUUUUCAGUGACCAAACGGGGUCGAAACUGAAAUAUUAAAAUUUCUUUGGACUUAUUAAGUGAAACCGAACAUGCCUGUCAAAUUUGAGCGAAAACGGACAUCCGGAAGGGCUCCAACGAAAUUUAUCAGAUUUCAAGCUGCCCGAAGUGAAUAGUGCGUAGUUGAGGGGCAAAAUGGUAAAAAGGGUUUAAAACCCCUUUUCUUCUUCUCCUCCCAACCGUGGCUGCCCCAACCGCACACACCACACACGCAUACACAAGAACACACACGCAUGGAAAGGAAAGGAGAGAAAUCCCUUUCUCUCUCUAAAUCUCUCCCAAAAUGGAUGGAUUUGGUGGAGAUUGAAGCUUGGAGGUGGAUCGCCUUCGUCUUCUUCAUCUUCUCCAUGAUUUGGAGCUAAUUUUGAGGUAAGCUUUUGCUACCCUUUAAUGGUAGAUCCUUAAUGGUUGGUUUAAAUAGCUUAGAAAUGGAUUUAGAGGAAUCCUAGCAUGCUAUCUAGAUGAUUGAUGCUUAAUUCGUGAAGGGAUUUGAUGAUUUCUUGCAUAGUUGCAACCUGGGGCUCCAAAAUGUAAUUUUUGCUAAUAGAUGGGUUUGAUCUAUUUUGACCCUAUGUAAACCUAAUUGCUAGGUAACGAAACGCGUUGGCGAAGACGGUUCGGCAAUCCGACGAGCCGUUACAAAGUUAUUAAAGAAAUGGACGUUUAGGCUUCGUUUCCGCCUGGAGGGCCGAGGCGAUGUCGUAAAAUCAUGAAAACGGAUUUGAAGCACCGUGGCACAUAACCGAAGACCUUUAAUUUCCGGAUCGCAAAUCGGAGAUCGUUUGGGUGGUCGCGCGAGAGUUCGAGCCAAACCGGGUCGCGGGUGUCGCGGGCGGCCGAUUGCAAGUGACUACAAGCAAUCGGAGAGUAAGUUAAGGUGGGUUGUGCUUACCGAAGCGACUAGGUCGCCCUUAUGUCUAAGAAUAUUAAGAAUUCGUGUUGAUGCAUAUAAGUGUUAAACAAUGCAUGUUAAUGUGAAUGCUAAGUAGAAAUGCAUAGUGAGCAAGUUACAUAAUGCUAGUAAUGCAUGAUAAUAAUGUAAUGCUAGUAAUGCAUGAUAUGAUGUAAAUGCUAAAGUAGAUGCAUAUAAAAGAUUAUAUAUAUGCAUGUAAACUAGAAGGAUGCAUGUAAAUAUAAUGCAUAGAAUGAAAUGCAUGUUGAUGACAUAGUCUAGAAAUGCUAAAUGUAAUGUGCAUGUUAAUAUGAUAAGAAACCAUGCUAGUAAGUGAAUGCAUAUUAAUACAUAUGUGUAUAAUGAGCAUGUUGGAUAAGAUUCGUGUACAUGUAGACUCGAGAUGACAAUAGGAUGUCAAGUAGAUCGAGUGGCACCUAACCUAGUGUUAAAGAACAUAGGUUGUGAAUGAAUCUAGAGUCAUGUGAACUAGAUCGAGUGGCAUCUAACCUAGUGUAUAAAACAUAGGUUGGACAUGAAUGACAAUGAACCUAGUGUUGUUGAACCUAGGAUGAAUCAUGAGUGGCAUCUAACCUAGUGUUAAAGGACAUAGGUUAUGGAUUGAACCUAGAGUUAAGUAAACCUAGGUUAUGUGAUAGAGACGUUGAACCUAGAGUCAGUUGGACCUAGGGUGAAAAGGACGUUGGACCUAGAUAGGUCAAUGCUAUAGGGUUUGAAACCAACCCUUGAGUUAUGAAAUGGAUUCCGGAAUCCCUAGUGAUGUGGCCGCACAUGGAGCGGUGGAAAUUGUGGUAAAAGAGAUGGCAAGCGAAUCAUAACUGCAGGUAUGUGUGGUUCUCCUCGCCUGGCAGUGAUUCAACGGGUAUGUGUGGUUCUCCUCGCCCGGGAUGCCAUGAGAAUAAGCUGGAAUUGGGUAUGUGUGGUUCUCCUCGCCCAUUAGCUUAUCGGAUGAUGCCGCCUAGGUUGACUUGAACCAUUGUUGGGUGAGAGCGAUGUGGUCGCUGCCAGAUGACUAAGUUAUGACUUGAACCAUUGUUGGGUGAGGUGCGAUGAGUUCGCCGCCAGAUGGCUAAGUCAUGACUUGAGUUGUUGUUGGGUGAGAGCGAUGAGUUCGCCGCCAGAUGGUUAAGUCAGAUCUGCGGUAGGCUGCGACGGCAGCCAGGCUGAGGUGCAGCCAGUGCGCGGACUAUCCGCGGAUGAUUGACUCGAGGCCGAGUCGGGUGGUUAGCUUGAUUAGGUUAAUGGGAACCUUAUAAGCUAGUGAUCGAGGCAAGAACCUGAGGUAAUAGAGACCUUAGAAGCAAGUUGAACUUGAGUUGAGAACAUAAGGUAAUGGAAACCUUACAAUUGAAUGAAAUGACCUAAAGUAGCAAAGUAAAUGUAGAAUUAACAUAUCUACUAGUUGUUUAUGCAGUUGCAUAGUUGCAUAAUGUUCAUAUUGCAUUUGCGAGGCAAGGUAUGGUUUUAUUAAUUGCAUAGUCAAAUAUCUAUCUAUCUGUUUAUUAAACUAACCUGCAGUUGCCUCCUUGGACCUAUUGGUCGAGCUCCUCCCUUGGGUGGCCGUACCCACUGGGAACCAUGGAGUUGGUUCUCACCCCACGUUGUUUUGGGGUGUUUCAGGUUCGCACGUGAGCGGCGCGGCGGCGCGAGGAAAGGGCGUAGCUCCAUAGAUAGCGCCCUACCCAGAGACCAGAGAUAGCAAUACCCCGUCGACAUAGCCUAGGGGUUUGGAAAAUGAAAAGAAUACAAUGUAUCAAUUUGUAAUAAGUAAAUGAUGUAAUAACUUAAUUGCAUUUGAGAGUUGGAUGUAAAGUAAAUGUAUUAUUGUGAAUGCAUGUAAUAACAUAGGAUGUGUUAUGUUGUGAUACUUUCCUUAUGCAAUCAUGAUUGAUAUCUGUUCCUGGUUGGAACCCUUGUAAUGUUCAUUGUAUUGAUUGCGACGCCUAGGACGUACAGGGGAAACUCUGUCCGUUCGGCGGUCUGUCGACGCGCCCGAACUCGGCCAAAUAGGCGGGGCUCGGGGCGUGACAUCUUGUUGAUUGCUUAAUUAUACAAGUUGUUAGAGCCUUGGGCGGACAGGGAAGGCUCUGUUCGUCCGGCGUCUGUUGACGUGACCCGAACCCGACCAAAUUGGCGGGGAUUGGGGCGUGACAGCCGAUCUUCCUACUAGGUCCAAGCAGGCACAAGCAGAUAGAUAGAUAGAUAUGAAAUUGAAGUGCAACAUAGUAAGGUAAUAUGCAACAUUCUACUAUGCCUUCAAUAAUCAGAUGUAUGAGCAACUAUAUAGUAUGCAACCUUCUACAUGAUACCAUGCGUCAACUAUCAAAUGAAUGAGUUACAACAUAGUAUGUAAUCUACACAGCACAAAAGACAACUAUCAUGCUACUAUGUCAAGAAACUAUGUCACUUCUGCUAUCAUUCAAUCACACGACUCACCUAUUGAUGCCGCAUCUACUAAAUCUCAUAGGUGAGGAGCUGCUCACUCACCAGACUCACAAUCUAAUGUCAACGGGGAGGAUCCGCUCACUCGCCCAACUCACAAUCUAAGUGUUACAACUCAAUCUCAAUCUCAAUCUCACAGGUGAGGAUCUGCUCACUCACCCAACUCACAACCAAAUCUCAACGGGGAGGAUCUGCUCACUCGCCCGACUCACAAUCUAAGUAUCUCAACGGGGAGGAUCCGCUCACUCGCACGACUCACAAUCUAAUCUCAACGGGGAGGAUCUGCUCACUCACCCGAGACCGUCUGCGGGACCCCAUAAGGCUAUCCCUAUCGUGUGACAAACUCCGAAGUGCACGCUUGUGCGGAGCGGAGCGACCGCCUACAAGAUCUGAACAGACAUGUGAGUGUGAUCAAAUCCUCGUCAUAGAGGAUACCCUGCCACUACGGUCAACAUCCACUUGGGAACUGUUUCAUCCCUAAGUUUAACAUGCAACAAGUAUUUUCAUCUAUACACUACUUGUCAUGCCACUCGUCAAGUUGUCAACAUUGUCUAAAUGCCACUCGUUCUCUAGUCCUUGUCAACACAAGAUUAAGUUCAUCACUUAACUUUACCAUUGUAGGGUUCUAUGUCACAAUUCCCCUAUUCUCAUGCAUCCUAACUCAAGUGCCAAACUCAUGUUGCUACACUACUCAGGAUCAUGCCAGAAUGGGAAUGCGACUAUCCAAUACCCUAUCAUGCAUAGUACUAACACUAGUCCAAAUGUCACUCUUCUAGGCCAUUUACAUGUCCAAGUUUAUCUUUAUGCCACUAUGGGAUUCCAUGUCACAAGACCCAAUCCUUAUGAAUCCCUAGUCCAUGUGUCAAGCUCACAAUGCUACACUACUAAGAAGCAUGCAAGGAAAUGGAAAUGCAACUAUCUACACAUCCUAUAAUGCAUAAUGUUGAUAUAUGAUCAAUACAUUUAACUUAGACAUAAAAGGAAGCUCGGUUGAUUCGGGAUGGACACCCCCCACCUUUUAUCGCUAUCACGAGGCUAGGGUUCCGAUUUCGUGAUUUUUGGAAGCUUUCGCCGUGAGCUGCGGCAAUCUGUACUUUAACGGCUUCGUUCUUUAAUAUCUUCAUGUAGCCUCGUCGUAUCGCCGAACCGACUUCGCCAAUACGUCAGAAAACCUAGCAAUUAGGUUUAUACAUGAUCAAUUUAGAUCAAAACCCCUCACAAGCAAAACCCCUCUUUUGAUGCCCGAAGAUGCAACUAUGCAAGAAUUCAUCAUUUGAUCUCUAAAUUCGAGCAUCAACCAUCUAUUUAGCAUCUAGGAGUUUCACUAAACCCAUUUCUAAGGCAUACAAAUCAUUACUUAGCAAUCUACCAUUAUUGCUAUCGAAGCUUACCUCUCAAACCCAAGCUCACUCUUCAAGUGAUGAAGAGGAUAAAGACUUCACCUCAAAGCGACCUUGCAACCUUUUUCUUCUCCAAAUCCACCUCCAAUUCCUCUCUUUGGUGGAGAAAUUGCUAGAGAGAGAGAGAUCUUUCUCUUUGGUUGCAAGUGUGAGGGAGAAGGAAAGAAUGUGUGUGUGCGUAUGAUGCAUUCAGCCAAGCCACCUCCUCUAAUAGGUGCUGUAACAAUUGCACAAAAACCCCUCUCACCUAUUAGAAAUUACAUCUCCAGCUCAGUUUAGCAGUUCGGAACAGUCGGAGCCCUUCUGAAUGUCCGUUUGCGCUCAAACUUGACAGUCAGGCUCGGUUUAACCUACUGAGAAGAAAUAUAUCUUAACUUUUCAGUUUGGACCAUAUUUGGUCACCGAAAGCUCUACCGAACUGUAAUCUCUAACAGAUAGCAGUUCGAUUUUAUUUUCCACCUUCCGGGUGUCAGAAUGAGGUGAAACUUUAAUUCUAGCCUCACAAAAAUAAUUCUGACAUAUCCUCCAGUUUUCAUAAUUUUCUGACACUGUACAUUUUCUGCUAAUUUAUCUUUCCCGUCUCUCACAGAAAAUUCUAAAUCUUCUGUUUUUGCUCCGAUUUCAGCACAGGUCAUUUCCAACUUAUACUUUACACCCUUAAGUCCAAUAAAAACAGUAUCUCACACUAUUUUUAUUUAUAUUUAUUUUUAUAUUAAAAAUCCAGCAUACUACAUCCACCGUAACUUCAUAAAUUUUAGAAGUUCGGUACCUUACAAUUUCACUUAGGUUUAGUUUUCACUGAUGAGAACAUGGAGAAUGUUGUUGAUUUAUUUUUCUGUGUAGUUAAAAUGGCUAGUCGUCAGAUGUCUCUUAGUGUUCAUUGGGAUGGACAGUUAGAUAUGGAUAGGAAUGGUCCCCGAUAUUUCGGUGGUCGAAAGAAAUUGAUCGCGAUUCGUUCAGAUACGACCUAUGCGAAUUUUGAGAGGAGAAUGUAUCGUUUAGUAAAUUGUAAUAGAGAAGAAUGUUGUCUUAAAUACACAAUUCGAUGCCCUACGGGAGCAAAUGAAUAUAUUGCUCAUGAUAUAGUAGAUGAUGAAUCAUUGGAGGGAUUAAUUGGAUUGUUUGAACAUUAUGGAUGUGUGUCGCUAUACAUAGAGAAAAAUUUAUAUCCGUCAGAGACACAAUAUCAGUCGUAAGGCUAUUACACAAGCCUGCUACAUAAUGAUAUCAAUUUGGGAUUUUCGGAGAAUCCGAUUGGUGACCGUGAAGUUGGUAAUGAACCAGGCGUAAGAAUGACAAGGUCAGUAAUAUAUCUCAAGAUUGUGGUGAAUAUUUUUUUAAUUAUGAAAUUUUUUCAUACAUUAUAAUUAUGAAUACUGCAGACAGAGUCAGUCUCCACGUGCGCAACCCUCGACUUCACGUGCGCAACCCUCGAUGUCACAUGCACAACCCUUGACGUCACGUGUGCAACCCUCGACGUCGACGUCACGUGACGAACCCAGGAUAUUUCAUACACCUAAUGAAAAUUACGAUUGGGGGUAAAGAAAAUAUAUAUUAUUUAAUUAAUAGUAAGUAAAAUUUUACCUAAUAUAGUAAACAUUCGGGACCUAUUGCAGGCUAUCUACGUCCUAUACAAAUUGGAAUGAAGUUCUUGAUAAUAUUGUCGAUGAAAGAGAUGAUAAUGACGGUAAUCAGGACGAUGAACCCAUUCAUAACGAUGGUCAUCAGGAGGAUGCACCCAUUUAUGAUGACAACAAUCAGGAGGAUGCACCAAUUCAUGAGGACAACGAUUGGAAUGAUCUAGCUGUUGACAUUGAAGAUGAUUAGAUGGUGGAUUAAAUUACCUUGCGAAUGCCAUUUACAGUUUGAAUGACGACCCGCAUGUAAACAACGAUUAUGUAGACAAUCCUGACGAGGAACUUGAUUUUAUUGACCAUCCGGAGCAAUUUCCUAUGGAUAACAAUUGGAUACAAUAGUAUGUUGUGAAUUCGAGUGAGUUCGAUGUUAGACGUACUAAUUCCGAUCUACCUAGCAUUGACGGGACUUGGCUCCGUGAAAUCUUUAAUGAUAAGGUAUCUUUAGUGGACGCUCUAGAUCGAUCGCACAUUACUCACAAUAUUCAGAUGAAAGUUUUGAAAUCUACCAAAACAACUUAUACAGUGAAAUGCACAAUUGAGGGAUGUCCUUGGAGGUUACACCCUUCGGUUCCUAAAGAUGCAACAUAUUUCAGAGUUAAGACAUAUGCGGGUCAACACACUUGUGUUAUUCCAAUGCUAAAUGCUGCGCACCGUAAUUGUACUUCAAAUCUCAUAUGCCAAGUAAUUCUCCCGUUAAUGAAGGCAAGACUAAAUAUGAAGCCAAAAGAAGUGCAGGAAACGGUGCGAUCCACUUUGCAUGUUCAAAUAAAUUAUUGGAAGGCAUGGCUGGCAAGGAGCAAAGCAUUACAGAUUAUUUAAGGGAGCUGGGAGCAGUCAUACACAGACUUGCCUCGGUAUCUUACUAUGCUGCAGAGUACUAAUCAUGGAACUUUUUGGCGGUUUUGGCGGCUUGAUCAUAGAUGGCCAUCAGAGGGAAUAUGUCAGUUUGGCCGUGUUUUUUGGUCAUUUGCUCAUUCUUUUCAUGGAUUCGCACAUUGUCGGCCGGUGGUGAGCAUUGAUGCCGCUCACUUGUAUGGCAAAUACGAAGGCCAUGCAUUGAUAGCGACGGCUGUCGAUGCGAAUGAUAGCAUUUUUUUCCUAGCUUUUGCAAUUUGCGAAGGCGAAAAUGGUGGAAGUUGGCAUUGGUUUUUACAUAACUUGGAGCAUUAUGUUAUACGCAAUCGAUCGGUUUGUUUUAUAUCUGAUAGAUUUAGUGGCUUAAAGGAAAUAGUGGCUGAGUUAUAUCCUACUCGACAGGGGCAUGCACACCGGUGGUGUCUUCGACACAUGAAAGAAAAUAUGGCUAAGCGGUUUAAAAAUGAAUCAUUAUUAGACAAAUUCUAUAGUAUCGUGUAAUACACUGAACUUUUGCAAAUUGCGGAGUUUGAGUGUGUGGUAUGAGUUGUGAAACUAUUCUACAUGUUCUAAAAGGCUUGGACAAGUUUUUGGACAAGUUAGAGAGUGAUCGGAUUGCCGGAGACAAGAAAGUGCAUUGCUUCUGCGCAUUGGGCAGAUUUUUGCAUUGUGUACCGGUACAGGCAUUAUGUUGUUCCGGUACAGCAAGCAGCAGCAAGCAGCAGCUGCGUGGGAGCAGGGUUUUUUGGUCUUUUGGGCACUUGAUCUUAUCUCCAUGACUCCAGCUCGACCCAUGGUGUUCAAUGGAAGUUGCUAGAGUCCUGAGAAGUAGCUUUGCACCUUCCCCUCUUUCUCUCUUUAGGGUUUCUCUCUCUUCGAUUGGAGAUCGCCGAAUCGAGCUUAUUUCUUGCCGCGUUCGUCGCUCGCUGGUUUGGAAACGUAAGGGAGGUCUUUGGGUCGUGGGGAGAAGUAUCUAUACUGAGUUUUCUAUGAGGUUUUCACCAGGGAAAGCUGAUUCUCAGCUUUGAAGAGGUAAUUAGCUUAACUUCUCUCUUGAUUGUGGCUUCGUAUUAGAAUUUAGGUUGAUUGGAUUUUCCUGCUUCCAACUGAUGUAGAGGCUGUUUUCAGUAGUAAAGAGGAGUUAUUUUGGCUAUGAAUUAUCAGUGAAAACUUGCUUUAAGGCUGGACUAAGGUUAAUUAGUUAUUAUGAAGCUAUUUGGAAGCUAUUUGCAACCUACUUGAGUAACUCAACGCAGUUGGAAGGAUGCCUUCGCAGCAGGUUUGCGAACUACUUUGAGCUGAAUCUGUGCUCUUAGAAGUUGGUUUGGAGGAUAUUUUAACCAGGGGUAAGCAGGAAUUUCAGUUAGAAAGAUGAAUUUACUAGAUUUCAGCUAUUUUAAUGCGUAUACUAGCAUUUUGAUGCCAUUUUGAUGUUGUUCGCAGCGAGACUACGAUCGAGCCUUGGAUUGUGUUCGGCUGAGUUGUGAGGACUCUUAGAGGUUACCUUUGAGGUACUAAUGUAACCCAAACCAGGAAUUCAAGUUACUACCUUAUUCUACUUAAGAGUUUUGCCGAAAUUGGAUUCUUAACAAAUCUUCUCGACGCGGUUUUGAUGCAUUGUCAGCAGGGUUGAAGUCUAGUAGAGCUGAAUUUCGAGACGUCGUGGAACUGAUUUGAGCAUAGUAAUAGGUGGGUUUGACCUAACCAGAGCAAGUGAAGCUCCCCUAUGUUCUAUAUGUACCUAUAGAAUUAUCGCUGAGGUGCAUUUAGUGAUUAUGUGAUUGAUAGAGAACUUGGACCAUGGCACUGUAAUGUUCGAUGCUUAAGUAGAAUGAAAUCUCUAUAAAGUAGAGAACGAAUAUACAUGAAAGUAUUUAUAUUUAUAUUCAAUUCAGUUGAAUAACUUAUGAACAAGUGUAGGAUGCACUUAUAAAGUAGAGAACAAUAACAUUCUCACAAUGACAUUCUUUUGAUUCUACAGUAGAGAACUAUAACAUGCUUUGUGACUAUAUUGGUAGUGCCAGGAUAGUGAAAAGAUUCUAAUGCCAGGUGUAAAUGAGCAUUACUCUUGCAUGCUUACUAAACUAGUGGAUUCUAGUUGUUGUUACUAUUCUUUAUAUUGAAAUUUCUGAUCGAGAAUCGAGACUGAGAACAUUACAAAUGAAAACAUGAUAAUUGAGACAUGUUGGACUAUGGACUUUGCUUGCUUGCCUUCGUGCUCAUUCGCACACGCUUGUGAGGGUCGCUCCCUACAAGCCGGCACUCCGGAGUUGGCCUACGCGACAGUUGCUCGCCCGUGCGGGAUUGGGUGCCGAAGUGGAUUGCCGUGGGGAGUGUACACUACCAUGGGGCCAUUAGGCGCGGCGCAAGCUGGACUACCUUGAGUAGAUUCCUGUGAAUGAAAGAAAAGUAGUAAAGGAAAUUUGACAGUAAUGAAUGAUUACCAGUUACAGUGUACAGUAGUCACUUACACAUUUAUGCUUAUGUUCAUGCUUAUAAGCUUCUAUUAUUCAGUUGAUUCAUUACUGUUGAGACUAUGAUUAUAUGUUGCUUACAUGCUCAUUACCUGUUCGCAUUGCAUAAUUAUAUACCACGCAAUUACUGCUUUCGCUUUCAUUUAGUACAUCAUGAGCCUAGUGGUGUAAUUCGCCGAGGCUGGCGGCUUGCCCACUGGGAACUAUUGUUUAUAGUUCUCACGCCCUUUUGGUGGUUGUUUUUACAGAGCCAUCUACAGGAGACGCUAGGGAUCGUGGCAAGGGAGUCGCAUCUAGCUAGACAUUGCUAGGAGCAUGCUAGUCGAUCACCAUGCUACUCGGGCUUCGACCGAGGGUGAUGUCCCUAUGUAUAGAGAGACCACCAUUGUACCUAUUCUUUUUUGUAUACCCUGUGAUGUAUAUUUACUGUUGAAUCAGAUAUUAUAGUUGUGAUACUUGCUCUUUUAGUCGAGAUUUUGGAUUGUACACUCUUUGCUCUUUUGCUGAUAGUAUAUCGACUUGUACUUUGCUCUGAUAUCAGGAUAGGACUUUCUUUGUUUUUACUCCUAUUGACUUGUUUCUGGUAGACGCCUUAUAUACUGUAGGUGUAUGGCAGGUCUGUGCACGUAUCGGAUAUGCUUCCGCUGAUACCCGGGCGUGACAGAUUAUAGUAGUAUCAGAGGCUAGGGUUGAGUCUUAGUAGACCUAGCAAACCUUAUGCUGGUUGGACUAUAAGAAUAGGCUCGUGAGAGACGAGGUCUAGUUGAGGUUGUGGUUAGCGAAAGUACUUUGAUUGGGUAAAGUAUAAACUCCGAAUGGUAGGAGUUUGAUCGGAAUGUGCAAUUACUAACCUUGCAGAGGGUCACGUUGGCGGCCGACAACGUGACAUCGGAAGUUAGUACGCGUUACAUUUCAUUUCUUUCGCUUUAUUAGUUGGUUUAUAUCCUCAAUGAGGGUUCAGUAGUAUAGGUUUUAUUAAUCUAUAUUUGUUUUGUGCUACAGCUCAAGAUGCCUUUGACUCGUUCGCAAGCUGCCGGGGCAGCUGAGGCGGCGAAUUCGGAGGAAGUGGGACCUCCGUUACUUCUGGAGCUAGUGGGAUCCAUGAGUUGCAGGAUCAGCUUGCGAGCUGACGGAUUUGGUUGCUCAGAAGGUUGCGGCAGCCCGACAGCAGAUGGAUACCGCGCGUCGGCAGGAGGACAGAAUGAAGAGGUUAGAGGUUUACUACUGCAGCAGACGACCGAUAGAGAGAUUCCUGAUCCUAUACCUACAGUGCCAGACAGGGAUGCGACAGUGAGAGCACAGUCACCAGUACUUGAUACACCCCCAGUUGCUUCGAGGGCAGAGACCUGACAGGAGACAAUAGUACCACCAUCAGUACCUGUAGCGGCAUCAAGGACAGUGUUACCCGAGAUGGUGGGGGCUGAGGAGCGAGAGCGGAUGAUGGAACAAUUGAAUGAAUUCCGUCGUUGCAACCCUCGUAUUUUUGACGGAGAAAAAGCUGAUCAUUGGGUGGUCGAGAAAUGGCUGAUGCACAUGGAGAAACUAUUUUAUGAUACUUUCGUCGAGGAGCGAUAUCGGGUUUGGUUUGCGACACACCACCUCGAUGGCGAGGCUUACAGGUGGUGGGUGGAUAUUCGUGAAGAUCCUCGUACUGAUUUGUCCGCUAUUACCUGGACGAGGUUCAAGGAAUUACUGUUCACUACAUAUUUUCCGCAGAGUGUAAAGAGACAAAUGGAAAGGGAUUUGAGAAACCUGAGACAGGGGGACAGGACGGUGGCUGAGUAUGAGCGAGAGUUCUCCCGAUUGCUGCAUUGUGUUCCUUUUGUGGUCAGAGAUGAUGAGGACAAGGCUCGGAUUUUUUAGGCAGGUUUGCGGCCUGCAAUUUUUAGAUUAGUCCAGGCGUCAAACCUAUCGACUUAUAGAGAGGUGGUAAACCGGGCUUUGAUUGUAGAAAAGGGGGCAAAAAUUAUGAAGGAAAGAGAUAUGGUGGAUCGGAGUAAAGAAAAGAGGCCAGCGGCUGAGAGCAGUGGUCAGCAAUCCUUCAGGAGACAACCAAAGUAUCCGAGAGGCCAAUCGGGCCAGUCGAGAGGUCGAGGUUCUUUAGCACGCCGUGGAGCACCCGAGCGUCGUCCACAGCUGCGUUGUGUUAUCUGUGGUGGGCCUCACGUACCGCCACAGUGUCCACAGCGUGGGGGCAGGUGCUUUCUUUGCGGCCAGGAGGGCCACUUUCGUUCAGAGUGCCCGAGAGGUUCUUUGCCUGCACCCUCGUCAGCGUGUGCACCUGCAUCUUCAGCUUCGAGCCAGGGGACCCCGACAGUACCCUAUCAGUCUAGGUGACCAGGAUAGCGGCAGUCGGAGAGUUCGUAGCAGGGUUCGAGUAGGCGGAUGUAUGCCGCCCAGACUGAGGGCGCUGCAGCAGCACAGGAGGUUGUAGCAGGUAUUAUUUUGAUUCAUGAUGUUCGUGUUCGUGCAUUAUUUGAUACUGGUGCAUCACAUUCCUUUAUUGAUCGGCUGUUUGUCGAGUUGCAUAGCAUACAGUUAGUACCUACCCUGCAUCCGGGACGAGUGAUCGUGCCCUACCAUACCCUGGGUAUUUGUGAGUAUUGCCCUCGCUGCCCAGUUAGGGUAGGCGAUUGAAUUAUGCCAGUGGAUUUACUAGCACUACACAAACUAGGUAAGUUUGAUGUAGUAUUGGGUAUGGAUUGGUUGACACAGUACUAUGGCACUAUUGAUUGCACGAACAGAACGGUGACCUUUAGGGAACCGGGUCAACAAGAGUUUGUUUAUAAAGGGUGUCCGAGUUCAUUGUUCGCAAUGACUAUUAGCUCUUCGCGAGCCCGACAGUUAAUUCGGAGAGGUUGUGUAGCCUAUUUGGCUAGUAUUUCUGUAAGUGAUGGUGAAGCCAUCAAGAUUGAUGAUAUUCCAGUUGUGCGGGAGUUCGGGGAUGUAUUUCCAGCUGAGUUGCCGGGUAUGCCACCUGAUAGGGAGAUUGAGUUUGUGAUAGAUCUUAUCCCUGGGACUGCCCCUAUCUCGAAAGCACCCUAUAGGAUGGCACCCGCUGAAUUGAAAGAGCUGAAGGCACAGUUACAAGAUCUUUUAGAUAAAGGAUUUAUUCGACCGAGUGUAUCGCCCUGGGGAGCACCGGUGUUAUUUGUCAAGAAGAAGGAUGGAUCUCUUCGAUUGUGCGUGGAUUAUUGAGAAAUCAACAAAGUCACAAUCAAGAAUAAAUAUCCAUUGCCCAGAAUUGAUGACUUAUUCGAUCAACUACAAGGAUCGAAAGUAUACUCCAAGAUUGAUUUGCAAUUAGGUUAUCAUCAGCUUAAGAUCAAGCCUUAAGAUGUUUCUAAGACCGCUUUUAGGACACGGUAUGGGCAUUAUGAAUUUACAGUGAUGCCCUUCGGACUGACAAAUGCCCCAGCAGCCUUUAUGGAUUUAAUGAACCGUGUCUUUAAACCCUUUUUAGACAAGUUUGUGGUAGUGUUUAUUGAUGACAUCUUGAUAUAUUCUCGAAGUGACGAAGAGCAUGAAAACCAUUUGAGGGUGGUGUUACAAGUAUUUCGAGAAAAGGAACUAUUUGCAAAAUUAAAGAAAUGCGAAUUUUGGCUCCGGAAAGUAGCAUUUCUGGGUCAUGUCAUUUCAGAGGUUGGGAUAGCUGUGGAUCCAAAGAAGAUUGAAGCGAUUAAAGAUUGGCCGAGGCCGACAAAUGCUACAGAGAUUAGGAGUUUCCUGGGCUUGGCAGGAUACUACCGCAGAUUUGUUGAAGGAUUUGCAAAAAUGUCUACGCCUCUCACACGAUUGACACAUAAAGGAGCUAAGUUUUUGUGGAAUGAAGCCUGCGAAAGAAGCUUUCAAGAGCUAAAGGAACGGUUGACUACCGCCCCGAUCUUAGCGCUACCUGUUACGGGAGAGGAUUAUAUGAUUUACAGCGAUGCGUCGCUGAACGAAUUAGGGUGUGUUCUAAUGCAGAAUGGCAGAGUAAUUGCUUAUGCUUCUCGCCAAUUAAAGGAUUAUGAAAAGAACUACCGUACACAUGAUCUUGAGUUAGCAGCUGUGGUAUUUGCUUUAAAGCUUUGGCGCCACUACCUCUACGGCGAGCGUUGCGAAGUGUACACAGAUCAUGAAAGCUUAAAGUAUCUGUUCACGCAGAAGGAAUUAAACUUGAGACAACGUAGAUGGUUGGAAUUGCUCAAGGAUUAUGAUUUGACCAUCCUCUAUCAUCUAGAAAAGCUAAUGUCGUAGCAGAUGCUUUAAGUCGAAAAUCGACGGAAAAUUUGGCAAUGUCGAUGACUAUGCAACCCCUAUUGGUAAAGGAAAUGGAGCAAUUGAAAUUGGAAGUUGUAGCUCCUGAUACGCCUUGGAGACUUAUGUCAUUAGUGGUGCAACCUACCCUGAUUGAUCGAAUUAAAGAAAAGCAAGCUCAAGAUGAGUUCCUGCAAAAGAUUCGAGCAAAGAUCACUGUUGAUCCAAUUAGCGAUUUUCGAGCGGAUGAUCAGGGAUUGCUAAAAUUCGGUGAUAGAAUUUGUGUGCCUGCCGAUCCAGAUAUUAAAGAGGAGAUUUUAAAGGAAGCACAUCGGGCACCGUAUACUUUACACCCUGGGAGUACAAAAAUGUAUAAAGACCUGAAAUCAAUUUACUGGUGGCCAGGAAUGAAAAAGGAAGCUGCUGAUUUUGUGGCCAAAUGCUUAACCUGUAAGCAGGUUAAGGCUGAACAUCGACUUCCUGCAGGGAAACUGCAAGGUUUACCCAUACCAGUGUGGAAGUGGGACAGAAUCACUAUGGAUUUCAUUGUUGGAUUACCUCGCUCACAAGCAGGUUACGAUGCCAUUUGGGUAAUUGUGGAUAGAUUAACCAAAUCUGCCCACUUUAUCCCAAUCCAUACAGUCUGGUCAGGGGAGAGACUCGCACAAGUGUACCUUGAUGAAAUUGUGCGAUUACACAGAGUACCAACUUCUAUUGUUUCAGAUCGAGACACCCGAUUUGUUUCACAUUUCUAGAGAAGUUUAUAGGAGGCCAUGGGUACCCGAUUGGAUUUUAGUACUGCUUUCCACCCCCAGAGUGAUGGGUAGUCCGAGCGUACUAUCCAGACCCUUGAGGAUAUGUUGAGAGCCUGUGUGAUUGAUUACCAGGGCAGUUGGCCACAGUUCCUGCCGAUGGCUGAAUUUGCUUAUAACAAUAGUUAUCAAGCAAGCAUUCAGAUGGCACCUUUUGAAGCCCUUUAUGGUAGAAAGUGCAGAUCACUGCUUCAUUGGAGCGAAGUGGGAGAAAGAUUAGUUUUGGGUCCAGAUGUACUGCAAGAAGCUGAAGCUAAAGUUCGACUGGCACGAGAACAUCUACUGACAGCUCAAAGUCGACAAAGGAGCUAUGCGGAUAAACGUCGAUGAGAACUGGAAUUUUGAGUUGGCGAUCAUGUAUUUCUGAAAGUUUCACCGUCAAAGGGGGUUAAGAGAUUUGGUAUUCGAGGGAAGUUGAGUCCUCGAUUUAUUGGACCCUACGAGGUAUUGGAACGGAUAGGCACCAUAGCGUAUCGGCUUGCUUUGCCGCCGAACUUAUCGGGAGUACAUAAUGUAUUUCAUGUAUCUACACUACGGAAGUAUGUUUUUGAUCCGACCCAUAUAUUGGAAAGUACUCCAGUGGAUUUACGAGAAGAUUUGAGCUUUGAGGAGCAUCCAGUGAGAAUACUAGCUCGAGAGGUGAAACGGCUUCGAAACCGCGAGAUACCGUAUGUGAAGAUACUUUGGAGCAAUCAUAAUGAACGAGAAGCCACUUGGGAAUUGGAAAGUGCGAUGUUAGAGCACUACCCCUAUCUUUUCUCGACGGAAUCUUGAGGUAAGUGAUUACAAGUUUCGCGGACGAAACUUCUUUUUAGGAGGGGUGAAUAUAAUACACUGAACUUUUGCAAAUUGCGGAGUUCGAGUGUAAGGUAUGAGUUGUGAAACUAUUCUACAUGUUCUAAAAGGCUUGGACAAAUUUUUGGACAAGUUAGAGAGUGAUCGGAUUGCCGGAGACAAGAAAGUGCAUUGCUCCUGCGCAUUGGGCAGAUUUUUGCAUUGUGUACCGGUACAGGCAUUAUGCUGUACCGGAACAGCAAGCAGCAGCAUCAGCAGCUGCAUGGCAGCAGGGUUUUUUGGUCUUUUGGGCACUUGAUCUUAUCUCCAUGACUCCAGCUCAACCCCUGGUGUUCAAUGGAAGUUGCUAGAGUCCUGAGAAGCAGCUUUGCACCUUCCCCUCUUUCUCUCUCUAGGGUUUCUCUCUCUUCGAUUGGAGAUCGCCGAAUCGAGCUUAUUUCUUGCCGCGUUCGUCGCUCGCUGGUUUGGAAACGUAAGGGAGGUCUUUGGGUCGUGGGGAGAAGUAUCUUUACUGAGUUUUCUAUGAGGUUUUCACCAGGGAAAGCUGAUUCUCAGCUUUGAAGAGGUAAUUAGCUUAACUUCUCUCUUGAUUGUGGCUUCGUAUUGGAAUUUAGGUUGAUUGGAUUUUCCUGCUUCCAACUGAUGUAGAGGCUGUUUUCAGUAGUAAAGAGGAGUUAUUUUGGCUAUGAAUUAUCAGUGAAAAGUUGCUUUAAAGCUGGACUAAGGUAAAUUAGUUAUUAUGAAGCUAUUUCGAAGCUAUUUGCAACCUACUUGAGUAACUCAACGCAGUUUGGAAGGAUGUCUUCGCAGCAGGUUUGCGAACUACUUUGAGCUGAACCUGUGCUCUUAGAAGUUGGUUUGGAGGAUAUUUUAACCAGGGGUAAGCAGGAAUUUCAGUUAGAAAACUGAAUUCACUAGAUUUCGGCUAUUUUAAUGCGUAUACUAGCAUUUUGAUGCCAUUUUGAUGUUGUUCGCAGCGAGACUACGAUCGAGCCUUGGAUUGUGUUCGGCUGAGUUGUGAAGACUCUUAGAGGUUACCUUUGAGGUACUAAUGUAACCCAAACCAGGAAUUCAAGUUACUACCUUAUUCUACUUAAGAGUUUUGCCGAAAUUGGAUUCUUAACUAAUCUUCUCGACGCGGUUUUGAUGCAUUGUUUUCAGCAGGGUUGAAGUCUAGUAGAGCUGAAUUUCGAGACGUCGUGGAACUGAUUUGAGCCUAGUAAUAGGUGGGUUUGACCUAACCAGAGCAAGUGAAGCUCCCCUAUGUUCUAUAUGUACCUAUAGAAUUAUCGCUGAGGUGCAUUUAGUGAUUAUGUGAGUGAUAGAGAACUUGGACCAUGGCACUGUAAUGUUCGAUGCUUAAGUAGAAUGAAAUCUCUAUAAAGUAGAGAACGAAUAUACAUGAAAGUAUUUAUAUUUAUAUUCAAUUCAGUUGAAUAACUUAUGAACAAGUGUAGGAUGCACUUAUAAAGUAGAGAACAAAAACAUUCUCACAAUGACAUUCUUUUGACUCUAAAGUAGAGAACUAUGACAUGCUUUGUGACUAUAUUGGUAGUGCCAGGAUAGUGAAAAGAUUCUAAUGCCAGGUGUAAAUGAGCAUUACUCUUGCAUGCUUACUAAACUAGUGGAUUCUAGUUGUUGUUACUAUUUGUUAUAUUGAAAUUUCCGAUCGAGAAUCGAGACUGAGAACAUUACAAAUGAAAACAUGAUAAUUGAGACAUGUUGGACUAUGGACUUUGCUUGCUUGCCUUCGUGCUCAUUCGCACACGCUUGUGAGGGUCGCUCCCUACAAGCCGGCACUCCGGAGUUGGCCUACGCGACAGUUGCUCGCCCGUGCGGGAUUGGGUGCCGAAGUGGAUUGCCGUGGGGAGUGUACACUACCACGGGGCCAUUAGGCGCGGCGCAAGCUGGACUACCUUGAGUAGAUCCCUGUGAAUGAAAGAAAAGUGGUAAAGGAAAUUGGACAGUAAUGAAUGAUUACCAGUUACAGUGUACAGUAGUCACUUACACAUUUAUGCUUACGUUCAUGCUUAUAAGCUUCUAUUAUUCAGUUGAUUCAUUACUGUUAAGACUAUGAUUACAUGUUGCUUAUGUCACGCCCCGGGACCGAGCGGAAGCCCCCCCGGCACGUGCCCAGACCCGCCAUACGUCUAAAACGUAUAAGGCGUCUAAAAACAACAAUAAUAAAAGCAAUAAUACAAGACAUCUAGGAGUAUCAGAGCAUAAUAAAUGUCAAGAUGCUACAACAAGGGAUAAGGAUAAAAUUGUAAAUCCACUAAAUAAAACAUAAAGUGAUACAAGAAAAUCCCAGAUACAAGUGCUAUAGGUAGAUACAUAGGUGGUCUCUAUACAUGGAUACAAAACCUCUCACUCUCUCAACUACAAAAGAAAGAGUAACCACCCCGGCAAAGUACCGCUCCUCGCUAGCUAGCUAAGCGAUCCCCUUGCCGCGAUCCCGUGUCUCCGCCGGUGCCGAAGGCUCUGAAAAAGGAAACCAUAAAACAGGGGCGUGAGAACUAUUAAAAAUAGUUCCCAGUGGGCAAUUACUGACUUCAGUGAAUGCACCACAAGGCCCAGAGCUACAAAAGAUGUCAGUGGCUAUAAAUGUAGAAAACCGAAAGGUAAGUAAAAAUGUAACUUACUACAACAUGAUAUCUCUACUUAGCAUAAUUAGCCUAAGUAUGAAGCAACUAUGCAUGAAGUAAAAGUCUCCAACUAUCAUAAUGUUCACAAUGCGAAAUAAUAAAGUUCCGUUUUUUACUAUUCUUGUCAAUGUCCAAGUAAUACUCUAAGUCAUCAUCUGUCCACAUGUCAUAAUGAAUACCCAAGUCAAAUCUGAAGAGACCCACCCGAAGGCUGUCUAUGGCCCUGAGACCCACCCGUAGGCUGUCUGGCCAGUGCCGAGCCUAAUGGCCCCGUGGUAGUCAUCAUCCCCACCCUAGGAAUGAGCCUGGCCCACGGCAAUCCACUUCAGCGCCGAAUCCCGCACGGCGAAUAUGAAUCGUGAUGGCUAUCACCGGAGUGCCGGCUUGUAGGGAGCGACCCUCACAAGCAUGUGCGAAUGAGCACAAUGGCAAGUAGGCAAACGAUCUGUCACGAGUACCAAGUCCUCAUGUCUAAUAACAUGGAAUGUGUCAAGUAUCUCAACGGCCUAUCCCUAUGUCAUCAUGUCUCUAACAUGGAAUGUAGCGGAUAAUAGUGGCCUAUCAAUAUGUCUCUACGUUGCAAUUUCAUAGUUUACUAGUUUCAAGUGCCCCUUUAUGACACUCUUGUUCUCUAUGUCAAAGCAUGGCAACUAUGUUCCAAAGUACAUAUUCCAAGUCAUAAUCCUCAUAAGAGAUGUAUUUUCCACUCGC